rnacentral:sRNA from 12 species
CCCUCGGAGAGUUAUAUCAAACUCAAGUAGCAGUAAUAUUGUGAAAGAGGACUCGUUGAACAGGGAA